rnacentral:rRNA from 1 species
GAGUUUGAUCAUGGCUCAGAUUGAACGCUGGCGGCAUGCCUUACACAUGCAAGUCGAACGGUAACAGGUCUUCGGAUGCUGACGAGUGGCGAACGGGUGAGUAAUACAUCGGAACGUGCCCGAUCGUGGGGGGAUAACGGAGCGAAAGCUUUGCUAAUACCGCAUACGAUCUACGGAUGAAAGCAGGGGACCGCAAGGCCUUGCGCGGACGGAGCGGCCGAUGGCAGAUUAGGUAGUUGGUGGGAUAAAAGCUUACCAAGCCGACGAUCUGUAGCUGGUCUGAGAGGACGACCAGCCACACUGGGACUGAGACACGGCCCAGACUCCUACGGGAGGCAGCAGUGGGAAUUUUGGACAAUGGGCGAAAGCCUGAUCCAGCCAUGCCGCGUGCAGGAUGAAGGCCUUCGGUU